rnacentral:lncRNA from 1 species
GGAAAUUGAGAAUUGAGCGGCAAUAUCUUUCUCCUCUUUUUCUUUCACGCUAAUAGUUUUCUUCCCCUUUCAGCCGUUCUCUUUUAGAGUACGCUUUCUUCUUAAAACCCUAAUCGUGUUCCUUCAUCAUCUACGAUCCUAAUCUCUGUCGUUCUUAUUCAUAAAACAAUCAGGCUCAGUUACAUGGUGGUGAGACGUGCAUAUGGUGGUGGUUAUGAUGAAGAAGGUUGAUACAGUGGAAGCCUUAAUGGUGAUUACAGAGGUGGUGGUUUUUAAUCAUCAUAUUUUGAUUAAUAGGAUGCGGAUUGUUUAGGUUUAGCAGUUGAAAUCAUCAGUAGUUUGAAUCAAGAAGCGAACAUCAACAAUCAUCAUCAUGUAAGUGAAGAUUCGAUUGAAUCUGUAUUGUUGUUGAUUGUUUGCUUUAAAUUAUUUUCAGUGGUGUUUCCUGUUACGAUGAGAAAGGUUGUCUUGGUGUGGUUAUGUUAUUUUUGGUUAUUGAUGUUGAGAUCAAGGUUUUCUAUAUGCAAUGGAAGAGCAAUACAAGCCAAUGAAAGAAUUUGGUGCCGGGAAUUUUAUAGUAGCAAGCCUGUUUAUAUAUAAGAAGAUGAAAGAACUGUUUGCUAUCAAAUACAAUGAAUGAGGGAAACAGGGUUUUGACAAUAACAUCACAGCGGCACCGCGGCAACCUGUCUCCGCUCGAGUUAGUUAAUUUUUAUGAAUUUGUUUGGGAUACAUUCGAUACGGUUGAUGAAUUGAUUGAUCCACUUUAGACUCUAAAGACGGGAAAUUGAAAUAUGGAUAUAACAAGAGAAAAAGGAGUUUGGGAGAGGUGAAGGGAGUACGCUGGUGAGGAAUUGGUAUUAAACUUGACUUUUUAAUACAAUAAUAACAUUU